UACAGAGGGGGCAAGCGUUAUUCGGAAUUAUUGGGCGUAAAGGGCGCGUAGGCGGCUUUGCAAGUGACGGGUGAAAUCCCUCGGCUUAACCGAGGAACUGCCUGUCAGACUGCAUGGCUUGAGACCGGGAGAGGUGAGUGGAAUUCCCAGUGUAGCGGUGAAAUGCGUAGAUAUUGGGAGGAACACCAAUGGCGAAGGCAGCUUGCUGGGACGGUACUGACGCUGAGGCGCGAAAGCGUGGGGAGCAAACAGG
rnacentral:rRNA from 1 species